rnacentral:rRNA from 1 species
AACGAACGCUGGCGGCGUGCUUAACACAUGCCAGUCGAACGGAAAGGCCCUGCUUUUGUGGGGUGCUCGAGUGGCGAACGGGUGAGUAACACGUGAGUAACCUGCCCUUGACUUUGGGAUAACUUCAGGAAACUGGGGCUAAUACCGGAUAGGAGCUCCUGCUGCAUGGUGGGGGUUGGAAAGUUUCGGCGGGUGGGGAUGGACUCGCGGCUUAUCGGCUUGUUGGUCGGGUAGUUGCUUACCAAGGCAUUGGCGGGUAGCCGGCCUGGGAGGGUGGCCGGCCACAUUGGGCCUGAGGUACGGCCCAGUCGCCUACAGUGGGCAGCAGGGGGGAGUAUUGCACAGUGGGCGGGAGCCUGAUGCGGCGACGCCGCGUGCGUGAUGACGGCCUGCUGGUAGUAAAACGCUUUCGCCUGUGACGAAGCGUGAGUGACGGUAAUGGGUAAAGAAGCACCGGCUAACUACGUG